rnacentral:sRNA from 1 species
GCUGGGCGUAGUGGCGCAUGCCUGUUAUCCCAGCAACUUCGGAGGCUGAGGCAGGAGGAUCGCAAGUUCAAGCCCAGGCUCAGCAACAAAGUGAGAUCCUGUCUCAA